ACCAGUCCAAGAAGAAGAUUGGAUAUAAGAGAUACUUGACAAUUUCAAAGUCCUAGGCCCGCUUCCUGAGCUGAGCAAGGGAGAGUAAAGCAGCUGUGUUCUCCUUUGGAGAAGAAGUCUUCUAGACAGAGACAGGCUUUAAUGAACUUGAGCAAGUCCUGUUUUAGGCAAAUCCCAGUGAAGAAGAAAGAUGGAUCUGAGAACGCUGUCUGGGCUUGGUGCCAAGGGCUGGUAUUUCACAGCAGCGACCGCCUCACAGACGAGCUGUGGGAAGCAGGAGGGAGACUCUCUCUUAGGGUGCCACUACUAUGGAGACACAGCUGGGCUGAACAAGAUUUGCUUCAAACGACAACAAGAGAGACAGAAAGUAUCUGGUUCAACCGCUGCCCGAGCAGGCAGGCACCAGAAGAGCUAGCAGCCAAUCCGGCCAUGCUCGAAGCCAGCUCUGCAGCUCAGCCAAUCAGUGACAUCACUGCUUUCUUUAGCUUGCCCAUGGUGAUGUGA
rnacentral:lncRNA from 10 species